GGUGAACGGUGUGCACAGUGUUGGUCUGUGUUAUGUGUUGUUGCCUGGCUGCGUUUUGCAGUCUAGGCAGCAGUGCUCACUCCACACCUGCAGCCAUAGAACAACAGGAGAUCAUAGUACUGGCCUUUGACGUCUUCACUGACCUCCUCACCAUCGGCCAGCCUCCAAAUUCUCCAACAUGC